rnacentral:misc_RNA from 1 species
GAUGAAGAACGUAGCGAAAUGCGAUAAGUAAUGUGAAUUGCAGAAUUCAGUGAAUCAUCGAAUCUUUGAACGCAACUUGCGCCCUCUGGUAUUCCGAGGGCAUGCCUGUUUGAGUGUCAUGUAGACUCAAUCCCUCGGGUUUCUGAGGAGGUUGGAUUUGGGUGCUUGCCUUCUGGCUCGCCUUAAAGGACUUAGCAGGAUAGCACUGUAGUCGACGUAAUAAGUCUCGUCGGUGAAAGUGUGAUGUCUGCUUACAGAUUGCCCUUGGGCACUUUUGACUCUGACCUCAAAUCAGGUAGGACUACCCGCUGAACUUAAGCAUAUCAAUAAGCGGAGGA